GAUGAACGCUAGCUACAGGCUUAACACAUGCAAGUCGAGGGGCAGCAUGAACUUAGCUUGCUAAGUUUGAUGGCGACCGGCGCACGGGUGCGUAACGCGUAUCCAACCUUCCCGUUACUCAGGUAUAGCCUUGCGAAAGUAAGAUUAAUCCCUGAUGAUAUAUGUUUACUGCAUGGUGAGCAUAUUAAAGAUUUAUCGGUAACGGAUGGGGAUGCGUUCCAUUAGGUAGUUGGUGAGGUAACGGCUCACCAAGCCCGCGAUGGAUAGGGGUUCUGAGAGGAAGGUCCCCCACACUGGAACUGAGACACGGUCCAGACUCCUACGGGAGGCAGCAGUGAGGAAUAUUGGUCAAUGGUCGGAAGACUGAACCAGCCAAGUAGCGUGAGGGAUGACUGCCCUAUGGGUUGUAAACCUCUUUUAUAUGGGAAUAAAAAGAUUACGUGUAGUCUAUUGUAUGUACCUUAUGAAUAAGCAUCGGCUAAUUCCGUGCCAG
rnacentral:rRNA from 1 species